rnacentral:misc_RNA from 1 species
CCGUACAACGAGGGGGGCCCGAGGGCUGUCGCUGACCCCUUCUGAGGGGGGGUCGUGCACGCCCUUGACGUCACCCUCACACAAUCAAUCCAUCUCACCCUUUUGUGCAUCACCGGCGUGGGCCUCGAAAGGGGCCUGUGCCUUUUUACACACAAACACCCCUUAUAUGAUUUAGUGUAGAAUGUCUUUGCCUUUGUAUGCAAUCAAUA